CUUGCCCAUUCCCUCCCCAUCUGACGAUAACGGAAAAAUUGCAAGGCCGUGCCAGAAUGAACACCAGAUAGAUAAGAUCCUUUAGGUCAAUGAUCCAUAGCGACCAAAUAUGAGGCUGGGAAAGAGAUGAACCACUGAAGAACUAAGGACCUCCAGAGAACCCAUGUGAGAAACAAUGUGCCUGACAGAGUGAUGUGAGUUCAGUGCUUCAAGAUGAUCUCCAAUGUUUGAUGUGGGGGAGAAACCUCCACACAUUUGGCUAGUGUCUUCUAAAGCUCAGAGCUGAUCUGCCCUCCCACACUGAUUUCUCUUCACCUCAUGAAGGUCUGUCAAAAUAUUUCCAAAGCACUGAUGGGAUGGCUGUUCAAGGUGUGUCUCUGUUUUCCAUGAGAUUCUUUGGCUUUAAAAAACUGCCUUAUACAUUAUUGUAUUUGCA